CAGAUCUUGUGUGGUGUAUGAAACUCUGAAAAACUGUUGGCUGUUGUGAAAACAAAAUUAAGAAGGCUUUUCUUAUUGAUGUCUGAGGAUUAGCAAUACUAAAUAUAAAAACUGGGACAAUGGCAACAAAAAUAAUUUGCUACAUGAGGUACUUGGUUUACCUUCGCGGGCCACAUAAAAUGCUGUUGGGGGCCGGAUCUGGCCCCUAGGCCUUGAGUUUGACAGCUUGCUGUACAGUAUUGAAAAUUGCUGUGUGCUACAAAUACCCCUUGAUGGCAGUAAUGGCUCAUGGAUGGAUUUAGGUGGCUGAUUGUUGAAGAGUAUGUUGAGAGUCAACAAGACACCAAACUUACAAGACGACUGCAUAACUCCAUCGUUCGUUUUGACUUAUCUUGAAUGGUUAGGAUCUUCAUCUGAACUUAUCACACAGGCUGAGCUCUCAACAUUCAGCUUUUUGUGUAUAUCCGGAUUGUCAUUCCACUCUUGGAUUUUAUGCAUUGUACCAUUUACUUCUUCCUUGUUUCAUUUUUACUUUUGUCCAAUAGCAAUUACUCUGAAACUGGUACUACUUCAUAGUAAUGGGAACUCAAACAAUGCCUUCACCAAUGUGUGUAUUUGACACAUGAUUAAAAAUAAAUAUGCUAGCAGCCAAACAAGUUCCUCCUUAACCAAAACUACAUAUGCUCAAAAAUGGAAGUACAUUUUGCAGUGUCGUUUUUGUUGCAUUCUAUCAGCUCACCGCUAGAUGGCAGAAAAUUCUACACACAUCCCUUUAAAAUCGUGUAUACUGUAAAAUCUAAACAGCCCAUUUAUUUAUUUAUUUAUUUAUUUAUUCAGUCAUUUAUUUAUUGGUUAACGUAAUGAUCUGCUGUUACCCACUGCCUAAUCUACCUGGCAACAGUCGAACUUAUUUCUUUCCUCUUAAAGCACUGGUUGCAGUCCUUUCCAAUUUUUAAACAUCAUCAGUUUCGAUCGUUACAUGUGCUUCUUCUGUAUCCGUUUUAUAGUCCAUCCCAUUCCAGACCAGCCUCAGAGGCUUCCCCAGUAACCUUAUAUGAAGAAGCUACCUAAAUUCCUUCCCUCUAUGAUGAUAUUGUGGUCUUCCAAAAUGCCAUCCAUGUUUCCAUUCCAACCCAUAA